AUUGAACGCUGGCGGAAUGCUUUACACAUGCAAGUCGAACGGCAGCACGGGGGCAGCCCUGGUGGCGAGUGGCGAACGGGUGAGUAAUACAUCGGAACGUGCCCGGUCGUGGGGGAUAACGUAGCGAAAGUUACGCUAAUACCGCAUACGAUCUGAGGAUGAAAGCGGGGGACCUUCGGGCCUCGCGCGAUCGGAGCGGCCGAUGUCAGAUAGGUAGUUGGUGGGGUAAAGGCCUACCAAGCCGACGAUCUGUAGCUGGUCUGAGAGGACGACCAGCCACACUGGGACUGAGACACGGCCCAGACUCCUACGGGAGGCAGCAGUGGGGAAUUUUGGACAAUGGGCGCAAGCCUGAUCCAGCCAUUCCGCGUGCAGGACGAAGGCCUUCGGGUUGUAAACUGCUUUUGUACGGAACGAAAAGGCUCUGGCUAAUACCUGGGGCUCAUGACGGUACCGUAAGAAUAAGCACCGGCUAACUACGUG
rnacentral:rRNA from 1 species